rnacentral:rRNA from 1 species
GAUGAACGCUAGCUACAGGCUUAACACAUGCAAGUCGAGGGGCAGCAUGGUCUUAGCUUGCUAAGGCCGAUGGCGACCGGCGCACGGGUGAGUAACACGUAUCCAACCUGCCGUCUACUCUUGGACAGCCUUCUGAAAGGAAGAUUAAUACAAGAUGGCAUCAUGAGUUCACAUGUUCACAUGAUUAAAGGUAUUCCGGUAGACGAUGGGGAUGCGUUCCAUUAGAUAGUAGGCGGGGUAACGGCCCACCUAGUCUUCGAUGGAUAGGGGUUCUGAGAGGAAGGUCCCCCAGAUUGGAACUGAGACACGGUCCAAACUCCUACGGGGGGCAGCAGUGAGGAAUAUUGGUCAAUGGGCGAGAGCCUGAACCAGCCAAGUAGCGUGAAGGAUGACUGCCCUAUGGGUUGUAAACUUCUUUUAUAAAGGAAUAGAGUCGGGUAUGUAUACCCGUUUGCAUGUACUUUAUGAAUAAGGAUCGGCUAACUCCGUG